UACGUAGGGGGCAAGCGUUGUCCGGAAUCAUUGGGCGUAAAGCGCGUGUAGGCGGCCCGAUAAGUCCGCUGUGAAAGUCCAGGGCUCAACCCUGGAAUGCCGGUGGAUACUGUCGGGCUCGAGUCCGGAAGAGGCGAGUGGAAUUCCUAGUGUAGAGGUGAAAUUCGUAGAUAUUAGGAAGAACACCAGUGGCGAAGGCGGCUCACUGGCCCGGUACUGACGCUGGGGCGCGAAAGCGUGGGGAGCAAACAGG
rnacentral:rRNA from 1 species